CUUUCUCCUCAUUUCUCUCAUUUCCCUUUCCACCAUUAACACCCAUUUCAAGCUUUCAAAAGCUUGAUUUUAUUUUAUAAACUCCCUAACUCCUUUAAGUAAGUCUUGUUCUUGGACUUUGACAAGCAUCUUGACAACAAAAAGAGGAGGAAAGAAAGAAGAUUUGAAAAGGGAGAAAUUCAACAAAAGAGUUGAAAAGAAUAUCGGGAAGGAACCCGAGGAACCGAGUCGAGGCUAAAGGACGACUCGUUUGAGAUAUAGAGAUUAGAGGAGCAGCAGACUGAGCUGCUGAGGUGUGUGAAGUCAUCAGCUUGAAGUCUUCGGGUAUAAUUUAUACCCUAACUGUAAAUAUUUCUUUUGAUGUAUAUAUUGCACAUAAAUGUAUGGACAUGUACAUGGGUCUUGAGCAGCUUGUACAAAGUUUGUAUAAAAGUUGUAAUAAAUUUUAGUUUGGACUUCCUGAAUGUAAA